UAAAGCGCGUAUGGUGGAUGCCUUGGCAGUAAGAGGCGAUAAAGGACGUAGUAGCUUGCGAUAAGCUUCGGGAAGCUGGCAAACAAGCAAUGAUCCGGAGAUUUCCGAAUGGGAAAACCCAACCUUUUGAGGUUAUUAUGUGCUAAAUUCAUAGGUACAUAAAGCGAACCUGGAGAACUGAAACAUCUAAGUACCCAGAGGAAAAAAAAUCAACCGAGAUUCCGUUAGUAGCGGCGAGCGAAAGCGGAACAGCCCAGUUACUAAAUCAUUAUUAGUUUUAGCAGAAUGUUCUGGAAAGUUCAGCCAUAGUAGGUGAUAGCCCCGUAUGUAAAAAGGCUAAUAAUGUGGGUAACAAUGAGUAAGUCGGGACACGUGAAAUCUUGACUGAAUAUGGGGGGACCAUCCUCCAAGGCUAAAUACUCCUUACUGACCGAUAGCGAACUAGUACCGUAAGGGAAAGGUAAAAAGAACCCCGAUAAGGGGAGUGAAAUAGAACCUGAAACCGUAUGCGUACAAGCAGUCAAAGCAUUUUUUAAAAAAUGUAAUGGCGUACCUUUUGUAUAAUGGGUCAGCGACUUACUUGUUGUAGCAAGCUUAACCGUAUAGGGGAGGCGUAAGGAAACUGAGUCUGAAAUAGGCGUUUAGUUGCAACGAGUAAACCCGAAACCGGGCGAUCUAUCUAUGACCAGGGUGAAGGUCAAGUAACAUUGACUGGAGGCCCGAACCCACUACUGUUGAAAAAGUAGGGGAUGAGUUGUAGAUAGGAGUGAAAGACUAAUCAAGCUCGGAAAUAGCUGGUUCUCCUCGAAAGCUAUUUAGGUAGCGCCUCGUGUAUGACUCUUGGGGGUAGAGCACUGUUUUGGCUAAAAGGCUUCCCAGCCUGUUAAACCAAGGCAAACUCCGAAUACCAAGAAGUUUUAGCAUGGGAGACACACUACGGGUGAUAAGGUCCGUGGUGAAAAGGGAAACAGCCCAGACCGCCAGCUAAGGUCCCAAAAUUAUAGUUAAGUGAAAAACGAUGUGGGAGGUCUCAGACAGCCAGGAGGUUGGCUUAGAAGCAGCCAUCCUUUAAAGAAAGCGUAAUAGCUCACUGGUCAAGUCAUCCUGCGCGAAAGAUUUAACGGGGCUUAAACUAUAUACCGAAGCUGCGGAGCUCUUUUUUAAAGAGCUGGUAGAGGAGCGUUCUGUAAACCUGUAAAGGUAAAUUGAAAAAUUUGCUGGAGGUAUCAGAAGUGCAAAUGCUGACAUAAGUAACGAUAAUGUAGGUGAAAAACCUACACGCCGAAAGUCCAAGGUUUCCUGCGCAACGCUAAUCGGCGCAGGGUGAGUCGGCCCCUAAGGCAAAGUAGAAAUGCGUAGUCGAUGGGAAACAGGUUAAUAUUCCUGUACUUUAUAAUACUGCGAUGGGAGGACGAAGAAGGCUAGGUCAGCCACUUAAUGGUUAUAGUGGUUCAAGUACGUAGGAAAAGUUCUUUGGCAAAUCCGGGAACUCUAUUCUGAGAUAUGAUGACAAAACAUGAUUUAUUCAUGUAAAGUGACUAAUGCCACGCUUCCAGGAAAAGUCUCUAAGCUUCAGGUAUUGUAAAACCGUACCUAAACCGACACAGGUAGACAAGUAGAGAAUACUAAGGCGUUUGAGAGAACUUGGGUGAAGGAACUAGGCAAAAUGACACCGUAACUUCGGGAGAAGGUGUGCCUUUAAUAGGUGAAAGUCUUUACGACUAAAGCUGAAAAAGGUUGCAAAUACCAGGUGGCUGCGACUGUUUACUAAAAACACAGCACUCUGCAAACUCGUAAGAGGACGUAUAGGGUGUGACGCCUGCCCGGUGCCGGAAGGUUAAAUGAUGGAGUUAACUUUUGAGUAAAGCUUCAGAUUGAAGCCCCGGUAAACGGCGGCCGUAACUAUAACGGUCCUAAGGUAGAAUUGCUGCCUUAGUAAAAUCUGGCUAUAUGCUGGAAACUCCGAGUAUCCUGCAGUACUUGCUUUACCAUAAAAUUUUUUAAUUUUUAUUUAAAUUUUAUCUAAAGCAGUAAAAAUCUGACAGGUGCGGACAAUCAGCAGGAAAGACUAGUAAAAAUUAACUAGAUAAUUAGUUUUGUAAAUAUUAUUAAAUAAUUUUAAUCAAUUAUGUUAAACAUACACUCAAAAAAUUUAAAAACCCUUAAUAUUAAUAAAGUUAUUUAAUAUUAACAAAUAUAAGUAAAUAUUAAAUAUCAUAAAUAUUGUAAGUAAAUAUUAAAUUUUUUGUGAAAACAUAUAAAAAUUUUGUGAAAACUAAAAAAUUGUUUAUUUUUUAAAAAUAUUUAUUCUAAACUUCAAAAAAUUAAACUGUUUAAAAGUUAUUAAUAAAAUAUUACCCUUUUGUAAGGGUUGAUUAAGAUUACUAAAAUUAUUUACGUAAUUAGUAAUUAAGCGUUAGAAAUUAUAAUCCAAAUUUAUUAGAAUCCUCAGAGACUAUACGCCAGACAUUCAAUAAAUUUUGAAUUAAAGAUAAAUAAUUAAAUAAUUUUAAAUUUUGAAUGAAGAUAUAGUCCCGACUACAUGGCGACAUGUAGAAAAAGAAAAGUUACUUUUAAGUUAUUUAAAUUCAUUAAAUAAGUUAAGAUUUCAAGCGAAAUUCCUUGUCGGGUAAGUUCCGACCUGCACGAAUGGCGUAACGAUGGCCACGCUGUCUCCACCCAAGGCUCAGUGAAAUUGAAAUCGCUGUGAAGAUGCAGCGUACCCGCGGCUAGACGGAAAGACCCCGUGAACCUUUACUACAGCUUUACACUGAAUUUUGAAUAUACCUGUGUAGAAUAGGUGG
rnacentral:rRNA from 1 species